UUUCAAACUAAUUCCCUGAUUUUGCUCUUCCUCCUCACAGGGCCGGCUUGAGACAGUCUGGCCUGCCAGCCUCCAAUCUCUCUCUCUCCUUUGCUCUAGUCACCGGGUCCCGAAGCUUGGCGGGCAGCACCAGUCCGACGGCUGCUUUGGCCACCAGAUAGAUCAUCUGCAGAGGGAACACCACCAACGCGCCCAGCCAUUUCCACACCAUCCUCCGCGCCGCGGAGACAGGCGGGGGGGGCGAAACUCCCCGGACCGAGCAAAACAGGAAUUAAAAAAGAAAACACCCAAACAAUAAUAAAUAAACCGAAUGAAAGGGGGAGAGAGGCGUCCCACCUGGCCACUGUUGAAAUCACCUCUUCCCAAAAGCAAAGCACCGGGUGAGAAAAAAAAGAAAAAAAGAAAAAAAAAAAAAAAAAGAAAAA